rnacentral:piRNA from 1 species
UGUCAGUGAAAUGGUCCCUAACCUGC